rnacentral:rRNA from 1 species
AUUGAACGCUGGCGGCAUGCCUUACACAUGCAAGUCGAACGGCAGCACGGGUGCUUGCACCUGGUGGCGAGUGGCGAGCGGGUGAGUAAUACAUCGGAACAUGUCCUGUAGUGGGGGAUAGCCCGGCGAAAGCCGGAUUAAUACCGCAUACGAUCUACGGAUGAAAGCGGGGGACCUUCGGGCCUCGCGCUAUAGGGUUGGCCGAUGGCUGAUUAGCUAGUUGGUGGGGUAAAGGCCUACCAAGGCGACGAUCAGUAGCUGGUCUGAGAGGACGACCAGCCACACUGGGACUGAGACACGGCCCAGACUCCUACGGGAGGCAGCAGGGGGGAAUUUUGGACAAGGGGCGAAAGCCUGAUCCAGCAAUGCCGCGUGUGUGAAGAAGGCCUUCGGGUUGUAAAGCACUUUUGUCCGGAAAGAAAGCCUUGGCCCUAAUACGGUCGGGGGAUGACGGUACCGGAAGAAUAAGCACCGGCUAACUACGUG